GAGGCCGGGCUACGUCGUGCCCUGCGCGUGAGCAGCUGCAGCGGCAGAGGCAGCAUCCAGCGGCGGCGCCAGCAGUUCCAGCCCGUUGCUUUACUUUUUGCUUCACCGACAUAGUCAUUAUGCCGAAGAGAAAGUCUCCAGAGAAUACAGAGGGCAAAGAUGGAUCCAAAGUAACUAAACAGGAGCCCACAAGACGGUCUGCCAGAUUGUCGGCGAAACCUGCUCCACCAAAACCUGAACCCAAACCAAGAAAAACAUCUGCUAAGGAACUUUGCUUCAUCUGGGCUGCAUUUCCUGGCACCUUCCCAGCUUUCUAGUCAUGCAAGCCAUGUGUCUCCACGUGAGGGGUUUCACUGGAAAGCAGCAGCAGAGCCACCCCCUGGCUGGGUUCUCCCCCAGCUCUGCCUCCUCCUUCCCCAAGUCCUGCUGCUGCUGUCUCCAUGGCAGAACCACUUCUCCCCUUACUGGAGGGGAGGUCCACUGAACAAAUCCAGGAGAGGAAUCAUUGUGUUUUCCACAGAAGAGAAAGUACACUGGACUUUCUGUGCAACCUGUUAUUACAUUUUCACAGAGACUCAUAUUUGUGCAGUACAGCUCAGCUGAAACCCAGCAAAAUUGGGCUCCCGUGUCUCCAUAAAGGCCACCAUGAUGGUGAUGGUUGUACUUCACCUUGUGUUUGGACAGAGGCUGAUUGAUUUUGGCCAUCAUCACACCAUGUCUAAUAUUCUCUUCCCCUCUGCUUUGAUCCCCUGUUAGAAAGAACCUGGAGCAAAGAUUAGCAGAGGUGCUAAAGGGAAGAAGGAGGAAAAGCAGGAAGCUGGAAAGGAAGGUACUGCACCAUCUGAAAAUGGUGAAACUAAAGCUGAAGAGGUACUUUUCAUAAAUACCUCCCACUGAUUGAAUCAGUGUCUUUAAAGAAAUUUCUCAAUCCUUCAGCCGGUGAUAGCACGUUCUUAAUGUCUCUUUUUAUUGCCUGUAAUGUUAUUGCAGAUCCACAUCUCUCGCUCAACUGUUAAUGUCUCAACCUCCAGAGGCACCCCACCCAGCACACUGUCAGUAAAGGGGCAGAUUGAAACAGUGAGAGUUAAGGGUACAGUAGAAAAUUCUGCAUGUUUGCAGUGACUAGAAUCAGAUAGUAGUGUGGUGGUUUUUUGUUUUUUGUUUUUUUUUUAAUUAUCAUGAAGAGUGGGAGCUUGCAGGUAAGGCUUCUGUGGUUGUUUGAAAAGCAGAAAGCAAUAAAUGCAAGAAAGUGUUUGUGUAAUGUAUUCCUGCUUUGUCUCUUCUUCACUCAGAGUUGAAAUAGGUUUUGCAGUAAAGCUGGAAGAAAAAAAGAAAACAAAUGUUCAAAACUGUGUGUUUGUGUGUGGAAUUUCCUUUGCUUAUAGUAGUUUUAGUAGUAACUAUAUUUUUUUUUCCUUUCUUUUUCACAGGCACAGAAAACUGAAUCUGUAGAUAACGAGGGAGAAUGAAUUGUCAUGAAAAAUUGGGGUUGAUUUUAUGUAUCUCUUGGGACAACUUUUAAAAGCUAUUUUUACCAAGUAUUUUGUAAAUGCUAAUUUUUUAGGACUCUACUAGUUGGCAUACAAAAAUAUAUAAGGAUGGACAUUUUAUCGUCUCAUAGUCAUGCUUUUUGGAAAUUUACAUCAUCCUCAAGUAAAAUAAAUAUCAGUUAAAUAUUGGAAAGCUGUGUGUAAGAUUGAUUCAGCAUUCCAUGCACUUGCUUUAAAAUUUAGUCCUGUGCAUACUGUGGUGUUUUUACUGUGCAUAUUUGAAUUUUUCAUGCAGUUUUUCUAGAGCAAUAAUCAGUGGUGCUUUUGUACCUAGGUUUUAUGUGAUUUUAAUGAAACAUGGAUAGUUGUGGCCACCUGCUGACUAUUUGUGGUUUAAAAUAAAAGGUUUACUUGUCUGCA